UACGGGGGGAGCAAGCGUUGUUCGGAUUUACUGGGCGUAAAGGGCGCGUAGGCGGCGUGACAAGUCACUUGUGAAAUCUCCGGGCUUAACUCGGAACGGUCAAGUGAUACUGUCGUGCUAGAGUACAGAAGGGGCAACUGGAAUUCUCGGUGUAGCGGUGAAAUGCGUAGAUAUCGAGAGGAACACCUGCGGCGAAGGCGGGUUGCUAGGCUGAUACUGACGCUGAGGCGCGAAAGCUAGGGGAGCGAACGGG
rnacentral:rRNA from 1 species